UACGUAGGGCGCAAGCGUUGUCCGGAAUUAUUGGGCGUAAAGGGCUCGUAGGCGGUCUGUCACGUCGGGAGUGAAAACUCAGGGCUUAACCCUGAGCCUGCUUCCGAUACGGGCAGACUAGAGGUAUGCAGGGGAGAACGGAAUUCCUGGUGUAGCGGUGAAAUGCGCAGAUAUCAGGAGGAACACCGAUGGCGAAGGCAGCUCGCUGGGACGGUACUGACGCUGAGGCGCGAAAGCGUGGGGAGCAAACAGG
rnacentral:rRNA from 1 species